rfam:Streptococcus iniae ITSA1 contig053, whole genome shotgun sequence.
CAUACCUUUAAUAGAGUCCAGAGAGGCUUAAAAGGUUCACGAAAUAAAAGAGUGCUACCUGCACUCGUAUUUUCUGUAACCUUGCUUUUUUGGAGAGCAAGGUUUUUUGUCU